UAUAGUAUAUUUGUGUGUACCUGAGGUAUGUCCAGCUGUUGAUUUAUUAAAUAUAUAGUAUAUUUGUGUGUACCUGAGGUAUGUCCAGCUGUUGAUGUAUUAAAUAUAUAGUAUAUUUGUGUGUACCUGAGGUAUGUCCAGCUGUUGAUGUAUUAAAUAUAUAGUAUAUUUGUGUGUACCUGAGGGACGUCCAGCGCUGGACAGAACCAGUAGAGGCACCAGCAGAGCCACCAGGAUCAUCCUCAUCAACACUAGUUACUUCUACAGGGGCAGAAACG